rnacentral:rRNA from 1 species
GAGUUUGAUCCUGGCUCAGAAUGAACGUUGGCGGCGUGGAUUAGGCAUGCAAGUCGAGCGUGAAGCCCCGCAAGGGGUGGAAAGCGGCGUAAGGGAGAGGAACACGUGGUUCAUCUGCCCUCAGGACCGGGAUAGCUGCGGGAAACUGCAGGUAAUACCGGAUAAUGUCUCCGGACCAAUUGGUGCGAUUCCGCCUGAGGAUGAGACCGCGUCCUAUUAGCUAGUUGGUGGGGUAAUGGCCUACCAAGGCAAUGAUGGGUACCGGGUGUGAGAGCACGACCCGGCUCACUGGGACUGAGACACUGCCCAGACACCUACGGGUGGCUGCAGUCGAGGAUCUUCGGCAAUGGGCGCAAGCCUGACCGAGCGACGCCGCGUGUGGGAUGAAGGCCUUCGGGUUGUAAACCACUGUCAGAGGGGAUGAAAUGCGUAGGGGUUCUCUCCUACGUUUGACAUAGCCUCAGAGGAAGUACGGGCUAAGUUCGUGCCAGCAGCCGCGGUAAGACGAACCGUACAAACGUUAUUCGGAAUCACUGGGCUUAAAGGGUGCGUAGGCGGCGGCGCAAGUUGGGUGUGAAAUCCCUCGGCUCAACCGAGGAACUGCGCUCAAAACUGCGUUGCUUGAGGGAGAUAGAGGUGAGUGGAACUUAGGGUGGAGCGGUGAAAUGCGUUGAUAUCCUAAGGAACACCAGUGGCGAAAGCGACUCACUGGGUCUCUUCUGACGCUGAGGCACGAAAGCUAGGGUAGCGAACGGGAUUAGAUACCCCGGUAGUCCUAGCCGUAAACGAUGAGCACUGGGUUGAAGGGUCCUCCAUAGCCCUUCAGCCGUAGCGAAAGUGUUAAG